CAUCCAUCUCCUUUUUGCCUUCUGCCAUGAUUGUGAGGCCUCCCCACCCACAUGGAGCUAUGGAGAAGAAAGUAUCCAAGGCAAGUGUUUUGUGAAAAGUCAAGUGGGAAAAGCUAGCAAAAGAUGGGCCAGGAUCGUAUAGCAGUUCUUACAAGGCACCGCCAAAUGCCCUGCUCUCUGGAAGCCUAUACUACCAAUUUCAGCUCAAAAGUCUCAUCUUGCUCUGAUUUCUGGCACAGUUCAUUUGCUGCGUCACUUCCUUGACACCUGAAGCAGGCCUGUGUCCGCUGUUGCUGCCGUCCCUCCCAUAGGUCCUCCCUGGGACCAACUAUGAUUCCUGAGGAAAGCAUGGGAACCCUUGAAGCCCAGUGAUGGAGCUCAGACCCUGUAGCCCCACCGCCUGCACUAUGAUUCCUGAGGAAAGCAUGGGGAUCCUUGAAGCCCAGUGAUGGAGCUCAGACCCUGUAGCCCCCACCACCUGCUCAUGAACUCGGCCGCUACACUUGGACAGGAGCCCUGGGCAUGCUACUCAUCCUCUACAUGGCUCAUGGCCUGUCCCUGAAAAAUGAGUGAAUAACAAAACCUUCCUAACAGGGUUGCUUGGAGGUUUGCAGGAGGUGAUACGUGUGAAGUGUUCAGUGCAGAGCCUGACACACGUCCAGUGUUGGACAUGUUCUGCAUUUUCAUGAUGAAAGAAGGUAGGAUGUGCAUGGCCUCAUGCCUCUACUUUAUCUGAGCGGAUUAACUGGCUGUCCUCAUCACUGGCUCCUGUGCUGGCUGCUAGAUCUGCAUGUGCUGCCCAUCGUGGUUGUUUGCUCACUCUCAGGGCAUGUGCAGAUAGAUGUGAUAAGUCUUGAACCUUUAUUCUUCCCAUGAGGUUUUUAACUAUCCCUGCAUUCUCUUUCCUCCUAUCUCUCCUUCCACGCUUCCCCAUCCCUGUCCUCUUUCUGUUCUUUCCUUCUUUCAUCUCCUUUCCUCCUUUCACUCACACAUACACAUCCAUGAUGAGCUCAGGCGAAUUGGACUCUGCUUUGUCCCCACUCUGAGUUGUUGCUUAUUGAGUCUCUCCUUCUGUGCUCAGCUAACAUUAACAGCGCCUUUGUCAACCUCUCUUUUUAGAAAUAACCUUGCCUCUUACCAAAAAUCUGAUGCAGAAGCCACAGCUAGAGGGGACAGACUGUGGCUCAUUUUGGUUUGCUGCAAUGUCUCAAAGGACAUUGUUAUCUACUCUAAGAGCUUCAGUUUUCAUCUACUCCCUAAAAGUGCACUCGGUAAUUGCACGCGAAGCAUCUGACAAAAUCAACUCAUUGCAAAAAUGCUUUGCAAACUAGAUAUACAAGAGAAUCUCCUCAACCUGACAUAGCCCAUCUGUGAAAAUCCCACAGCUAACAUCAUAACUGAGGGUAAAAGACUUGAAUGCUUUCUGCCUAGGACUGGGGAAGAACACGAGAAGUCUGUUCUAUUUCUAUUUGAGAUUGUACUGAAGGCUGUAGCUGACAUAAUGAAGCAAGAUGAUAUAUAAAAGGUAUGAGUCAGAAGUGAAGAAGCAAAACUGUCUCUUAUUAGAGAUGAUGUGGCUCUGUAUGUAGAAAUCUCAAGGUACUUAAAAAAGGUUAUUAGAACUAAUAAGUGAGCUUAGCAAUGCCAUGGAAUACAAGGUCGAUGUGCCAAAAUUAAUUGUGUAUUUCUAUACACAGCAAGAGCAAUUGAAAACUGAAAUGUUUCAAGAGUGCCAUCUAAAAUAUCAGUUAAAACAGAAACAAGUGACACUUAGUACUAAUUUAACAAAAUAUGGGCAAGAUCAGAAAAGCACAAAACAUCAUUGAGGGAAUUAAAUACAUAUGUUUUCAUGAACUAAAUGACUCAGAAUAGUUAAGAAGCCUAUUCUGUUCAAUUUAAUCUAAAAAUUCAAUAAAAUUUCAAUAGAAGCUUCACUAGUUUUUGCUUGUAUAAAUUUACAUAAAUAUUUAAAAUGCAAUUUUAAUUUAAUAUAAAUUAAAUUUAAAAAUACAUUUUAAAUAUAUGAGGACAUUCAGAAUGACCUAGAAUAUUCAAAAUCAUUUUUAAUAGCACAGGUAGAAUACUAAUGUUAUUUCAUUCAAGACUGAUAAUAACCCUACAGUAAUCAAGCUAAUGUAUUAUUGGGAGGAAACAGGUAUAUAGAUGAGAGAUAGACUAAUAAACAUUGAAGAGAGAGGAAGGUCCAGAAAUAGAUCCACACUUCCAUUAUAUACUGUUUUUUGACAAAGAGGCCAAGUUAAUUCAAUGGAAAAAGGAUAAUUGUUUAGCAACUGAUAUUAGAAACACAUAUUUGUAUGAGGGAAAAAUAUUAGAAACACAUAUUUGUAUGAGGGAGAAAUAGCCUCUAUCCUUAUCUCAUGUCAUACAAGAAAACUAACUCAAAACUUAACAAUCUCAGUAUGAAAGUUGAAACUAUGAAAUGUAUAUGACUAUAUUGUUCAUUAUGGUGAUUGCUAGCCACAUGUAAUUAUUAUACAUUGAAAAUACAGCUAAGUCCUACUUAAGAUAUACUAAAGGAGUAAAAUGCACACCAGACAUCAAAGGCUUAG
rnacentral:lncRNA from 10 species